GGCCCCUCAACUUGAGAUUCACAAAGAAAAAAAGCAAUGUCUCCUCGCUGAAAGCAAAAUGGAAGCUCCUCCUUGCACAGUGCAGCCCCUUCCUCACUGUAGGUUAUUCCAAGUGAGAAGAGUAAACAUGACUUCUAAAUGCCAUCUAACGAUAUAUGCAUAUCUAAAGGAGACAAGGAUGACUGAAUGCAUCUUCAUGUGUAGGAAGUGAAGUGUCUGUUGACAUUAAGUACUUCUUCAUGAGUGAGAGGAGGCCCAUGAUGGAGAUGACACCAGUACCUCCUUCUAGCACUCUGAAUUCCCAAUGUUUACUACUGCUGUCUCUGAAACUGCAGCAUCCUCACCAGGACCACACAGGGAACAAAGGCAAGA
rnacentral:lncRNA from 1 species